rnacentral:rRNA from 1 species
CAGGUUCCAAGGGUUGGGCUGUUCGCCCAUUAAAGCGGUACGUGAGCUGGGUUCAGAACGUCGUGAGACAGUUUGGUCCAUAUCCGGUGCAGGCGUUGGAAAUUUGAGAGGAGCUCUUCCUAGUACGAGAGGACCGGAAGGGACGGACCUCUAGUGUACCAGUUGUCGCGCCAGCGGCAAACACUGGGUAGCUAUGUCCGGACGGGAUAAACGCUGAAAGCAUCUAAGCGUCAAGCCCACCUCAAGAUUAGAUUUCAUAGACCCCUUGUAGACCACAAGGUUGAUAGGCUGGAGGUGUAAGCACAGCAAUGUGUUCAGCUGACCAGUACUAAUCGGUCA